rnacentral:rRNA from 1 species
GGCGAACGGGUGAGUAACACGUGGGUAAUCUGCCCUCGAUUCUGGGAUAGCCCGGGGAAACCCGGAUUAAUACCGGAUAGCCUCUCGAGCUUUCGAGCUCUUGAGAAAAGGUAGCUUCGGCCUCCGAUCGAGGAUGAGCCCGCGGCGGAUUAGCUUGUUGGUGGGGUAAUGGCCUACCAAGGCGACGAUCCGUAGCUGGUCUGAGAGGACGAUCAGCCACACUGGGACUGAGACACGGCCCAGACUCCUACGGGAGGCAGCAGUGGGGAAUCUUGCCCAAUGGACGAAAGUCUGAGGCAGCGACGCCGCGUGGGGGAAGAAGGCCUUCGGGUUGUAAACCUCUUUCAGCAGGGACGAAGCCACUCGGGUUAAUAGCCCAGAGGGUGACGGUACCUGCAGAAGAAGCCCCGGCUAACUACGUGCCAGCAGCCGCGGUAAUACGUAGGGGGCAAGCGUUGUCCGGAUUUAUUGGGCGUAAAGAGCGUGUAGGCGGCCGCACAGGUCCGUUGUGAAAACUGGAGGCUUAACCUCCAGACGUCGAUGGAAACCGUGCGGCUAGAGUCCGGAAGAGGAGAAUGGAAUUCCUGGUGUAGCGGUGAAAUGCGCAGAUAUCAGGAAGAACACCCGUGGCUAAGGCGGUU